GACGUAGGGGGGCAAGCGUUGUCCGGAUUUAUUGGGCGUAAAGAGCUCGUAGGCGGCUCAGAAAGUCGGGUGUGAAACCUCCAGGCUCAACCUGGAGACGCCACCUGAUACUGCUGUGGCUAGAGUCCGGUAGGGGAACACGGAAUUCCCGGUGUAGCGGUGAAAUGCUUAGAUAUCGGGAGGAACACCAGUGGCGAAGGCGGUGUUCUGGGCCGGAACUGACGCUGAGGAGCGAAAGCGUGGGUAGCAAACAGG
rnacentral:rRNA from 1 species